AUUGAACGCUGGCGGCAGGCCUAACACAUGCAAGUCGAGCGGAUGAAGGGAGCUUGCUCCUGGAUUCAGCGGCGGACGGGUGAGUAAUGCCUAGGAAUCUGCCUGGUAGUGGGGGAUAACGUCCGGAAACGGGCGCUAAUACCGCAUACGUCCUGAGGGAGAAAGUGGGGGAUCUUCGGACCUCACGCUAUCAGAUGAGCCUAGGUCGGAUUAGCUAGUUGGUGGGGUAAAGGCCUACCAAGGCGACGAUCCGUAACUGGUCUGAGAGGAUGAUCAGUCACACUGGAAAGGAGACACGGUCCAGACUCCUACGGGAGGCAGCAGUGGGGAAUAUUGGACAAUGGGCGAAAGCAUGAUCCAGCCAUGCCGCGUGUGUGAAGAAGGUCUUCGGAUUGUAAAGCACUUUAAGUUGGGAGGAAGGGCAGUAAGUUAAUACCUUGCUGUUUUGACGUUACCAAAAGAAUAAGCACCGGCUAACUUCGUG
rnacentral:rRNA from 1 species